rnacentral:rRNA from 1 species
UACAGAGGGUGCAAGCGUUGUUCGGAAUUAUUGGGCGUAAAGCGCGUGUAGGCGGCUUUGCAAGUCGGGUGUGAAAGCCCUCGGCUCAACCGAGGAAGUGCGCCCGAAACUGCAGAGCUUGGGUACCGGAGAGGAUGGCGGAAUUCCCCAAGUAGAGGUGAAAUUCGUAGAUAUGGGGAGGAACACCGGUGGCGAAGGCGGCCAUCUGGACGGAUACUGAUGCUGAGACGCGAAAGCCAGGGGAGCAAACGGG